CCUGCUCAUUGGGAUCCACUAAAGACCAAGAUACACAAAGCAUGCAAGGCCACACACACAUUUUAUGCAACGCUGCUCCAUAGCAUUUUUCCGCCUCGCCCUCUUCUUGCCCUGCGCUUCGUUGUGAAAGCCCUACCUUUUCGUCCACCACCACCAACCCCGUCCGAGCCCUGCAUUCACACCUCCCUUGACGAUUUCCUUGCCCUUUUCCAUCUCACCGAGUCGUUUUCUCCACUUCCUCUUCUUCCUUCCACCCCACCUCCACCCACACACAGCUCUCCGACAUCAUGUCCGCCUACCACAGCAGCAACCCUGUCGAGGCCCGCCGCGCCGAGUGCGCGCGCCUGCAGGCCAAGUACCCCGGCCACGUCGCCGUGGUUGUCGAGGCGGCCGAAAAGGCCGGCAGCAAGGCGCACUUCCUCGCGCUGCCGCGCGACGCCACCGUCGCCGAGCUCGAGGCGGCCGUGCGCCAGGCGCUCAGCACCAGCGUCAAGAAGGUGACGCUCGCCAUCGAGGGCUCCGCCCCGGCGGUGACCGCCGCGGUCGGCGACAUCGCCGACGCCUGCAAGCGGGACGACGGCUUCCUGUACGUGAGCGUGCGCACCGAGCAGGCCAUGGGCGUAUCCGCGAACCUGUGCUUCUCCACUUACUAACGUGCCGGCCAGGAGGCCAACUGCGCACAUGCGGCCUCCUGGUGUGGGUGAUGCGCUUCAUAUUCCCAUUCUACCUCAUGUGGUGAAUUUUAUAUAUUUUUUUUAUUUCUCCUCUUGUGCGUUUUCUCUCCCACCCGCGUUUCUUUUGGAAGGACGCGCUGUCUCCUACUUGGCGCGCCUGUUGCGGGCGGCGGAAGCCUUUCUGGCUGUCCUCUUGCGCUAUCGCUGUUGUGCCGGUGUAUGGCAACGCGUACGUGCACCGUGCUGCCCGCGCGGCACACACCGUCCCUCCCUCCAUGUGUACAGCCCACUCGCAGUCCUAGCUGCACCUCCCUACCCACCACCACCACACACACAAGCACGCAUACCUUGACCGCCAACGCCACCCCGCUGCGCUGCAGACGCCGUCGCGUCACGCCCGCCCU
rnacentral:misc_RNA from 1 species